UACGGAGGGUCCGAGCGUUAAUCGGAAUUACUGGGCGUAAAGCGUGCGCAGGCGGUUUGUUAAGCGAGAUGUGAAAGCCCUGGGCUCAACCUAGGAAUAGCAUUUCGAACUGGCGAACUAGAGUCUUGUAGAGGGGGUAGAAUUCCAGGUGUAGCGGUGAAAUGCGUAGAGAUCUGGAGGAAGUACCGGUGGCGAAGGCGGCCCCCCUGGACAAAGACUGACGCUUCAGGCACGAAAGCGUGGGAGCAAACAGGAUUAGAUACCCGCGUAGU
rnacentral:rRNA from 1 species